UCAUCCUACGGGACGCAGCAGUGAGGAAUAUUGGUCAAUGGGCGCAAGCCUGAACCAGCCAAGUCGCGUGAGGGAUGACGGUCCUAUGGAUUGUAAACCUCUUUUGUCGGGGAGCAAGGCCCGCCACGUGUGGCGGGAAGGAGAGUACCCGAAGAAAAAGCAUCGGCUAACUCCGUGCCAGCAGCCGCGGUAAUAAGGAGGAUGCGAGCGUUAUCCGGAUUUAUUGGGGUUAAAGGGUGCGUAGGCGGAAGGUUAAGUCAGCGGUCAAAUGUCGGUGCUCAACACCGGACUGCCGUGGAAAAUGG
rnacentral:rRNA from 1 species